UGCCGCGAUGGGGAUGGGGUCCCCCGAAACCGCCCGUCCGGGCUGAUGACUCCUGCGCUUUU
rnacentral:ncRNA from 2 species